rnacentral:tRNA from 1 species
GCAACGGUGCCUGAGCUGGCCUAAAGGUACGGAUUGCAAAUCCGAUAUUCGGGGGUUCAAAUCCCUCCCGUUGCU